UUUCGCUACACUCGCAUUAACAUUGCUAACCAUGUGUAUGUGACAAAUAAUAUUUGAUUUAUAUACAACACUCAAAGUAGUGGAUAUGGAGCAUCUACAGCCUCAGUUACACCUGACACCUAAAUGUGACUCCUGUCAUCUGAUCACUCCAAACUGCAUUGGGUUCAGAUCUACCAGGACGGACCUUUGACAGUCUGGAUGCAGUCAGGCCACUGAAUAUAAAUAAGCAAACUGGAGAUUCCUUCAAAACGGUUGCCUACAGUUACCGUGUAGGGCACUGCAAGGUUGGGUGACCAGGGUCAUCUGGGACUGCCUCCUGGAGGAAUUCAGGUGUGUGAAGGCUACCUGUGUUCUGCUUAACUUCAUGAUGGACACGAGGACCAGGAGGGGAUCUGCAGCUCGCCGCUGUGUCCCAGAGGAGGAGUCUGCUGUUCUGCAGGAUGUUUCAAGGAUUGGGUCCAACAAUGCAGCAAGAGAGGCAAUCCGUGUGCAGGAGAUCUUCACCUCCUACUUCUUCAAAGAGGGUGCUGUUCCCUGGCAACACCAUAGACUACACUAUGCACAACCAAAGGCUCUUAAGAGCCAUUCACAUUGCAAUAAGAGUAUUCUUCCAUUUACUUAGCUAUGUUAACUGCAGUUAUUCCAUUCCCAGUUUCUCUCCCUUUGAUUUCUACUUCUCAGGUGAGGGUGCUGUUUAGGUAAGGGUGUGAUGUCUGUGCAAAAAACAAAACAGGCUAUUUUAAAUCACCCAUUUUGAAAAAAAUGUAGAACAAUUAGACACCCGAUAACCCACAACUACCCACUCAUGUAUCGAUCUGAUUGUUGGAUUGUGUUGUGCAGUAAGCAGGUUCAGGUGUAUAACUGUGGCUCCUUCCACCUUCAAAGAAUAGGCAAGAGGGCCAACCAUGGAGAAUAGUUAUAUCAGCUGUGUCGGUGAACCCCUCCUGCAUCUGAACUGGCUACAUAGAGGACACAGCAUGAUCAGAGGUAUGUUUUGAUGUGAAAGGAUGCCAACCCCCAGUCCCAUCAUCGCCACCUCACCUGCUUUUAAGAUAACAGUGUCUCUAGUCGGCCCAAUGGUUAUGUAAUUGUGAUGAACUGAGAGAACUUUUAUGUAGCACUGUGAUUCAUUAAUCAUGUGCUGCCUUCCCUGCUCCUAUGUGUUUACCUCUUUCCCUUUCUGUCUUUAACACCUCUCUCCUCCUCUUUCCCUUUCUGUCUUUAACACCUCUCUCUCCUCCUCCUCUUUCCCUUUCUGUCUUUAACACCUCUCUCUCCUCCUCCUCUUUCCCUUUCUGUCUUUAACACCUCUCUCUCCACCUCUCUCUUCCUCUGUUUUUAUAAUUCACAACAGAUGUGCAUUGAUGGACAGAUUGAACUUGUAUUUAUAACACUUGGAUAAUGAGCUUUUCAAUAAAGUGUUUC